GAUGAACGCUAGCGGCAGGCUUAAUACAUGCAAGUCGAGGGGCAGCAGUUUUGUAGCAAUACAGAAGCUGGCGACCGGCAAACGGGUGCGGAACACGUACGCAACCUUCCUUUAACUGGGAGAUAGCCCACCGAAAGGUGGAUUAAUAUCCCAUAAUAUAACUGAAUGGCAUCAUUUAGAUAUUAAAGCUCCGGCGGUUAAAGAUGGGCGUGCGUCGGAUUAGGUAGUUGGCGGGGUAACGGCCCACCAAGCCUUCGAUCAGUAGCUGAUGUGAGAGCAUGAUCAGCCACACGGGCACUGAGACACGGGCCCGACUCCUACGGGAGGCAGCAGUAAGGAAUAUUGGUCAAUGGACGCAAGUCUGAACCAGCCAUGCCGCGUGGAGGAUGAAGGCCCUCUGGGUUGUAAACUUCUUUUCUUUGGGACGAAACCCCUGUUUCUACGGGGACUGACGGUACCAGAGGAAUAAGCACCGGCUAACCCCGUGCCAGCAGCCGCCGCAG
rnacentral:rRNA from 1 species